UACGUAGGUGGCAAGCGUUGUCCGGAUUUACUGGGUGUAAAGGGCGAGUAGGCGGACUUGCAAGUCAGAUGUGAAAUGCAGAGGCUUAACCUCUGAGCUGCAUUUGAAACUGUAGGUCUUGAGUGAUGGAGAGGCAGAUGGAAUUCCCGGUGUAGCGGUGGAAUGCGUAGAUAUCGGGAGGAACACCGGUGGCGAAGGCGGUCUGCUGGACAUUAACUGACGCUGAGGAGCGAAAGCGUGGGGAG
rnacentral:rRNA from 1 species